CCCCUAGUAACUGCGAGUGAAGCGGGAAAAGCUCAAAUUUUGAAUCUGGCGGUCUUUCGGCCGUCCGAGUUGUAAUCUAGAGAAGCGUUUUCCGCGCUGGACCGUGUAUAAGUUUCCUGGAAAGGAACGUCGUAGAGGGUGAGAAUCCCGUCUUUGACACGGACUACCAGGGCUAUGUGAUGCGCUCUCGACGAGUCGAGUUGUUUGGGAAUGCAGCUCAAAUAGGGUGGUAAAUUCCAUCUAAAGCUAAAUACAGGCGAGAGACCGAUAGCGAACAAGUACCGUGAGGGAAAGAUGAAAAGAACUUUGGAAAGAGAGUUAAACAGUACGUGAAAUUGCUGAAAGGGAAACGCUUGAUGUCAGUCGCGUCGGCCGGGGAUCAGCCUUGCUUAAUCGCUCGGCGUACUUCCUGGUCGACGGGUCAGCAUCAGUUUUGACCGUCGGAAAAGGACUGGAGGAAUGUGGCACUCUUUCGGGAGUGUGUUAUAGACUCUGCUCGAAUACGAUGGUUGGGACUGAGGAACUCAGCACGACCUUAGGGUUCGGGGCUUCGGCCUACGUU
rnacentral:rRNA from 1 species